rnacentral:rRNA from 1 species
UACGUAGGGUGCAAGCGUUGUCCGGAAUUUAUUGGGCGUAAAGAGCUUGUAGGCGGUUUGUCGCGUCUGCUGUGAAAUUUCGGGGCUCAACCCCGAACUUGCAGUGGGUACGGGCAGACUAGAGUGUGGUAGGGGAGACUGGAAUUCCUGGGUGUAGCGGUGAAAUGCGCAGGAUAUCAGGAGGAACACCGAUGGCGAAGGCAGGUCUCUGGGCCAUAACUGACGUGAGAAGCGAAAGCAUGGGGGAGCGAACAGG